GCUUACACAUGCAAGUCGAGCGGUAACAUUUCUAGCUUGCUAGAAGAUGACGAGCGGCGGACGGGUGAGUAACGCGUAGGAAUCUGCCUAGUAGUGGGGGACAACAUGUGGAAACGCAUGCUAAUACCGCAUACGCCCUACGGGGGAAAGGAGGGGAUCUUCGGACCUUUCGCUAUUAGAUGAGCCUGCGUGAGAUUAGCUAGUUGGUGGGGUAAAGGCCUACCAAGGCGACGAUCUCUAGCUGGUCUGAGAGGAUGAUCAGCCACACUGGGACUGAGACACGGCCCAGACUCCUACGGGAGGCAGCAGUGGGGAAUAUUGGACAAUGGGCGCAAGCCUGAUCCAGCCAUGCCGCGUGCGUGAAGAAGGCCUUAGGGUUGUAAAGCACUUUCAGGAGUGAGGAAGGGCGUAUAGUUAAUACCUGUACGUUUUGACGUUAACUCCAGAAGAAGCACCGGCUAACUCUGUGCCAGCAGCCGCGGUAAUACAGAGGGUGCGAGCGUUAAUCGGAAUUACUGGGCGUAAAGCGCGCGUAGGCGGUUUGUUAAGUCGGAUGUGAAAUCCCAGGGCUCAACCUUGGAAUGGCACCCGAUACUGGCAG
rnacentral:rRNA from 1 species